rnacentral:tRNA from 1 species
GCCGCGGUGGCGGAACUGGUAGACGCGCUGGAUUUAGGAUCCAGUGUCCCUAUGGACGUGUAGGUUCGAGUCCUAUCCGCGGCA